GAUGAACGCUGGCGGCGUGCCUAAUACAUGCAAGUCGAGCGAACGGACGAGAAGCUUGCUUUUCUGAUGUUAGCGGCGGACGGGUGAGUAACACGUGGAUAACCUACCUAUAAGACUGGGAUAACUUCGGGGAACCGGAGCUAAUACCGGAUAAUAUUUUGAACCGCAUGGUUCAAAAGUGAAAGACGGUCUUGCUGUCACUUAUAGAUGGAUCCGCGCUGCAUUAGCUAGUUGGUAAGGUAACGGCUUACCAAGGCAACGAUGCAUAGCCGACCUGAGAGGGUGAUCGGCCACACUGGAACUGAGACACGGUCCAGACUCCUACGGGAGGCAGCAGUAGGGAAUCUUCCGCAAUGGGCGAAAGCCUGACGGAGCAACGCCGCGUGAGUGAUGAAGGUCUUCGGAUCGUAAAACUCUGUUAUUAGGGAAGAACAUAUGUGUAAGUAACUGUGCACAUCUUGACGGUACCUAAUCAGAAAGCCACGGCUAACUACGUGCCAGCAGCCGCGGUAAUACGUAGGUGGCAAGCGUUAUCCGGAAUUAUUGGGCGUAAAGCGCGCGUAGGCGGUUUUUUAAGUCUGAUGUGAAAGCCCACGGCUCAACCGUGGAGGGUCAUUGGAAACUGGAAAACUUGAGUGCAGAAGAGGAAAGUGGAAUUCCAUGUGUAGCGGUGAAAUGCGCAGAGAUAUGGAGGAACACCAGUGGCGAAGGCGACUUUCUGGUCUGUAACUGACGCUGAUGUGCGAGAGCGUGGGGAUCAAACAGGAUUAGAUACCCUGGUAGUCCACGCCGUAAACGAUGAGUGCUAAGUGUUAGGGGGUUUCCGCCCCUUAGUGCUGCAGCUAACGCAUUAAGCACUCCGCCUGGGGAGUACGACCGCAAGGUUGAAACUCAAAGGAAUUGACGGGGACCCGCACAAGCGGUGGAGCAUGUGGUUUAAUUCGAAGCAACGCGAAGAACCUUACCAAAUCUUGACAUCCUUUGACAACUCUAGAGAUAGAGCCUUCCCCUUCGGGGGACAAAGUGACAGGUGGUGCAUGGUUGUCGUCAGCUCGUGUCGUGAGAUGUUGGGUUAAGUCCCGCAACGAGCGCAACCCUUAAGCUUAGUUGCCAUCAUUAAGUUGGGCACUCUAAGUUGACUGCCGGUGACAAACCGGAGGAAGGUGGGGAUGACGUCAAAUCAUCAUGCCCCUUAUGAUUUGGGCUACACACGUGCUACAAUGGACAAUACAAAGGGCAGCGAAACCGCGAGGUCAAGCAAAUCCCAUAAAGUUGUUCUCAGUUCGGAUUGUAGUCUGCAACUCGACUACAUGAAGCUGGAAUCGCUAGUAAUCGUAGAUCAGCAUGCUACGGUGAAUACGUUCCCGGGUCU
rnacentral:rRNA from 1 species